AGGAAAACCCAGGUCAGGGAAAAAAACCAGCUUGUAUCCUCAGAAUAACCACAGCCCCUCCUCUCACCUCUUCCCAGCCUCUCCUGGGGAUCAUUCAGGUGAACUUGACCUCCAGAGGAGGAAUUUGCUGUAGGCGGCUGAAGAACUGCCGUACUGCGCUUCCCAGAGAAAUCAGGGAAGAAAGAGAAAUCAAUUCUCUUUGCCAGCUCCCAGAAGUGAGGAGCAGCGAGGCCCUGAGAGGCUGUCAGUGUCCAGAGAGCUGGAAACAAGCAUUCCCAGCGUGAGGGCUGGCACAGAUUUCUCCCUGGAAGGUGCCUUAACCUCUGGAAAAAUCAUAAAGAAUCACAAUUUCUUCCACUACAUUACAGGUAGAGGGAGGAACAGCCUUGGAGCCAGGCAGAGAGAGCACAGGAAUGUUCUGAGCCCUCUCUGAAGGCUGGCACCAUUGGCACCCCUCUGAACCUCCUGAGGGAUGGUUGUGUUUUGAAGCAUAGAUCUACUUCCAGUGCAACAAUUGACUCUAUUCUCAGCUGUGCCUGGCCAGACCACAGCUCUUCAAUCCUCUCUUCACCUUCCUAGCCCAGGAGGCAGAACUGCACCCUGGAGGCAGAAGCACGUGCGGAGCGCGGGAGGCGCGCACAGAGCAGAGGAGGCAGAACUGCACACGGAGCAUGGGAGGUACGAGGCGAAGGCAGAGCAUGAGAGGCAGAGCAGAGGAGGUGUGAGCUGAGCAUGGAGCACAGAAGGUAGAACAUGGAGCAGAGGCAGCGAGGGAGGAGGAGGAGGGGAAGGAGAGCUGUUACUGAUGAACCACAGCAGAGAGGCCUGCGGGAAGCAUCG